AACGAACGCUGGCGGCAGGCUUAGCACAUGCAAGUCGAGCGCCCCGCAAGGGGAGCGGCAGACGGGUGAGUAACGCGUGGGAAUCUACCCAUCUCUACGGAAUAACGCACGGAAACGUGUGCUAAUACCGUAUACGUCCUUCGGGAGAAAGAUUUAUCGGAGAUGGAUGAGCCCGCGUUGGAUUAGCUAGUUGGUGGGGUAAAGGCCUACCAAGGCGACGAUCCAUAGCUGGUCUGAGAGGAUGAUCAGCCACACUGGGACUGAGACACGGCCCAGACUCCUACGGGAGGCAGCAGUGGGGAAUAUUGGACAAUGGGCGCAAGCCUGAUCCAGCCAUGCCGCGUGAGUGAUGAAGGCCCUAGGGUUGUAAAGCUCUUUCACCGGUGAAGAUAAUGACGGUAACCGGAGAAGAAGCCCCGGCUAACUUCGUGCCAGCCGCCGCCGUAAGAC
rnacentral:rRNA from 1 species